UACGGAGGGAGCUAGCGUUGUUCGGAAUUACUGGGCGUAAAGCGCACGUAGGCGGCUUUGUAAGUUAGAGGUGAAAGCCCGGGGCUCAACCCCGGAAUUGCCUUUAAGACUGCAUCGCUUGAAUCCGGGAGAGGUGAGUGGAAUUCCGAGUGUAGAGGUGAAAUUCGUAGAUAUUCGGAAGAACACCAGUGGCGAAGGCGGCUCACUGGACCGGUAUUGACGCUGAGGUGACGGAAAAGCGUGGGGGAGCAAACAGG
rnacentral:rRNA from 1 species